UAAUACGUAGGGUGCGAGCGUUGUCCGGAAUUAUUGGGCGUAAAGGGCUCGUAGGCGGUUUGUCGCGUCGGGAGUGAAAACCCAGGGCUUAACCCUGGGCUGGCUUCCGAUACGGGCAGACUAGAGGUAUGCAGGGGAGAACGGAAUUCCUGGUGUAGCGGUGAAAUGCGCAGAUAUCAGGAGGAACACCGGUGGCGAAGGCGGUUCUCUGGGCAUUACCUGACGCUGAGGAGCGAAAGUGUGGGGAGCGAACAGGAUUAGAUACCCUGGUAGUCCACACCGUAAACGUUGGGCGCUAG
rnacentral:rRNA from 1 species